AAGCAGGCUCCAUGCACCGGGAGCCCGAUGUGGGAUUCGAUCCCGGGUCUCCAGGAUCGCGCCCUGGGCCAAAGGCAGGCGCCAAACCGCUGCGCCACCCAGGGGUCCCGGACACAGGGUUUUGAAUCAGAAACUCGGGGCCCCUUCCCCCAUCCUCCCAGGUCCAAAGCCUCGACGAUCUAAACACAACAUUCCGUUGCACAUUCUCGGGCCAGUUGUUCCCACCGCCGCCACAGCAGCUCCAGGUUGUCGAGAAUUCAACCCGGGAGACUAUCUCUGCCUCUUCCUCACAUCUUGCCGCUGGAAGAACAACCUUACGGCAUUGCUGACUCUUUCUGACCAAGCCUGACCGUCAGCACCCUGCUGUAGUGUAGCUGGCCCCUUCUCCCACACCCCUACCUACAUCAGAAAAUGUUCUCUUUCCGUAAGGGAGGCUCACAGGCUGGGGCUGGGGCCUAGUCUGGUGAGGAGGAAUGGAGGAAGGGUGCUCACAGAAGGGCAAACAAGGUGCAGCUGGAGCCUGAGGCUGCAUUAUGUGGCUUGGCUGGGAGGGGGGGGGGGUGGCAAGAGGGGGCGCAUUCCUUUGACCUAGUAUAUCAUGCCUGAGUCAAGAAAGAAGCACAAGACCUGCUAAAAGGCAAAACAACAUAGUUUGAGGAGACAGAGAAAGCAUCAGAAGCAAAUACAGGCCCUCAACCAAUAGGUUGAUACCCAUGCACAUUGUGUUAAGCAUAUGAUGAAUGACCUCUUUUGCACCAAAGGUGCAUCCACAAGAGCUGAGAAAGAGGUCUUCACCUGCCCUGGGACUGGGAUUUACAUCAUUGGCUCUUCCGGUUCUCAGGCUUUUAGACUUGGACUGAAAGGACAACACUGGCUUUCCUACGUUUCCAGAUGACAGAUUGUAGGACUUCUCAGCCUCCAUAAACAUGAACUGACCAGAAGCUGAGGAUUGAGUGGUACCUACAUCCCUGAAUUCUGCAUCAGCCGCGCUUAGUUCAUUCAUGUGGAUACAUUCAACAAAUGUUUCUGGCUGAAUACUUUGACACUGAGGAAUGACGCCCUCUGCCCAUAGAGAAAACUCUGAGAUUGUGAGGAAAAAAAUUGAGUGAGAAGAGUCGGUUCUUUAUUUUUAUUACAAAGCUCAAACCAAUAUUAAGUGGAAUGCCAACAGGGCAUAUACUAUAUAACAGAAAAGGGCAUCAGUGCAGGUCUACAUUAUUAUGAAAUAAAUAAAAGGCAGUUUUAUUCACACACACACACACACACACACACAUAAAGAACUUGUGAAAUAGGCUUUACACAACUGACCCAAAAUAAAAAUGAAAAAGCCCAAAUGUUUGUAAGGCAAAUAUAUUCAAUCUCCCCAAGAUUGCUGACUACUCAUCUGACACAUCCUAGAAGGGAAGGGCUUUAGGUAGGUCAAAUUAGAGGCAGAGGCUGGGCUGGAUGGAAGCCAAUAACUUGUAUUAUCAAAGUGAAUAUUACUAUUUUCACUGAUUUCAGAAAAAAUAGAUGGCUAAUAUGUAUACUUUGUAUAAUAAAUCUUAAUUUUUCCUAAAGUAUUUGUAAUAUGAAUAAGAGGCAGAUGUCUACAUGACUAAUCAGGGAAAAAAACCUAACAGCAAAAGGCUUUAUUAGUUAUUUUAAAUUUAGGUUGUGAAAGUUUAGAAAUUAAAAGAAAAAAAUACUUUUAGCAUGUUUGUGUUUCCAUUUGAUUCCUAAGUAAUUUUUAACUGCAUUAAGCUUUUCGUGGUUAACAAUCCCAGAAAGAUAUAUUGCUUACUCAGAUUUGCUUCUGAAUAAUUUCUGAUAAAUAAAAGACUGUAAUGAAUAAUUUGAAGAUAUCUACUUAAUAGAUGAUAGUUUUCUAAAAUUAUUACCAUAUAUUAGAAGGACAAAUAUUCUUACUUUUAUGAAUAAGACAGUUCUGAGUAAUUUCAAAGGCCAGAGCAUUAAAUUUAUUUAUUGUAAAUAUCUAUAUAUAAAUAUACACACAUUCAUAACUAUAAUUUAAAUAAUCAAAGAAUGAAUAAGACCCACAAAAAACAGUUUAUAUCAUUCUUCCUAGGAAAGGUUUAUGGAACUGUGCUUAAAUAGUCAAGAACUACAUAAACCUUAGCACUUACUCAGUAUUUAAAUUAGUUUACACAUUUAUUGUACACUAAAUACAUGAUAUUGUAAUAAACUUAAAUGAGUAAGAGUAAGUUAAUUUAGUUGCCAUAUAAUUGUCUCAACAAGGAAAACAUUAAAUGUGCUUUAUUGCCCAAAUUUAUACAUUAAACUAGCAAAGAAUUUGAACAAUUAACUGGUGUUUAAUAAAACAACUAUAGUGAGUUGAUUGGAUAUCAAUUAAUUGCCAAAAUUAGCAUGUUAAUUAGUAUUUAUUUUCGUAUAAUGGUAAUUAUCUAGGAGAUUGUUAAUUGAAAUACGUUAAGCUUUUCUUUUCUAAGAACAGAAUUUUAUUGAUAGCCUUACUUUUAGUAAUAUUUAUAUGGAAACAAAAUGGACAUACUUUAUACAAUAAAACUCAAGUACUAACAAAUGAAUUAAUAUUUAACCCCUUUAACUUACCGAACCUACUUAAAUAUAUGCUAUGUGGUAGUAAUUCCAUCUCUAUUGUUUAUAAGAUAGGCUCCUUUUAGUAGCUCAUCUCUCCCAAUGCGUAACACUUUAAAAGGUGUAGUUAAGUUCAAAGAGAGUAAAGAGCAAUAUUUGCUGUUCUUGCUUUGAUCCAACUUGGAUAACUUGUCCAAUGGUGCUGAUCAGUUAUUCCAAUUAAUCUUAAUAUCUAUGUUAUCACACAAAUUGUUCUCAUCUGUAAUUUCUAAGUACUCAUCACUGUGAGGAUGGAUGGACAGAUAGAUGGAUAGAAUAGAGAAAGAAAUAAUGGACAUAUAUAUAUAUAUAUAUAUAUAUGGAGAGAGAGAGAGAGAGUGUAUAUAUAUAUUAUGUAUAAUUACUUGUUCAAAAAUAUAUGAAAGAGUUUUUACAAAUCGUAUGAAAUUAUCACUCAGUACAUUUUUGUUGACCUGUUCAACAGAAACUUUUGAACUUACGAAUGUUUCUGAUCAUAGCACUCCUCUCUUUUUC